GAAGAUCCCAAGGGGCCGUAAAGGAAUGGAUUGGAGGCCUGAGUCUGAUGACAGCCUUUAAAAAAAAUGAAUCACCAAUGGAUCUCCAGCCCAUCUUAUCAAUGAUAUUGCUGAACAAUGUACCUUAAGCGUAUUGAAGCUAAGGCCAUUGUCCAGUCCAGAUUGUAAAAAUCCCAAUACUUGCAAAGUCGAGACCUCGCCCAAGGAUUGAACUUCCUUCUUCAGCCAGUCUGCAAAUUUCUGCCAAAUCUUGUUAUAUGUGUGAGAGGUAGAAUCUUUCCUGGAACAUAACAGUAGACACC